AUUCGCACCAAGGGCUUGAGACAGUUUGCGUGACUCGCCCCAUCUUGGCUGCUGGACCUAUCUGCUCUCCCCCGACUCUCGAGGGCUGUCAAAUCAAGAAUGAUCUACAAGUCAGCUGGUGUCUACAAAGCCUCUAGAUGAACUCUGAUGAUCCAGCACUCCAAAACCCUGGCCUACUUCAUCUCAGCACCUUGAUAACAUAUAAGUUGCCGGUCAUCUUCCUGUCUCCGCAAAGGUUUGGCACCAAUCAGUACUAUGAAUGAGAAAAGGGGAGAGAUGGAUAUCCCAAGUUACAUUCAUGCCAAAUGAAGAUCUGAUAACCUAAGUGAGCAUUAACAGAGAUUUCACAGGGGGUUGAACUCAAAAAGGUGGCAGCAAUGCAUAGUCAUCGCGAAGUACCUAGCAGUAAAACUGUACUGAACUUGAAGAACCAACAUCACUGCAGCCAGUACCAUAUUGCAUUACAAAAAGUGACUGCAUUUCAGCAAAAUAACAACAUACAUCAUAUUAAAUUAGUGUGGUAAAUUUGUAUUUUUAUUUGGGUUACAGAAUGUUAAAUCUGAUUUGCAAAAUCAAUUUUAAUGGCUAUUUGGAAUACAAGGAAGUUCUACGUUUGAACGUACUUAAGUAAUCUCAUAAUAAAAAUAACU